AUACGGAGGAUGUGAGCGUUAUCCGGAUUUAUUGGGUUUAAAGGGUGCGUAGGCUGUGCGUUAAGUCAGGGGUGAAAUGCCGUCGCUCAACGACGGAGCUGCCCUUGAUACUGGCGUGCUGGAGUACGGAUGCCGUUGGAGGAAUGAGUGGUGUAGCGGUGAAAUGCUUAGAUAUCACUCAGAACACCGAUUGCGAAGGCAUCUGACGAAUCCGUCACUGACGCUGAGGCACGAAAGCGUGGGGAUAGAACAGGAUUAGAUACCCUGGUAUUCCACGCCGUAAACGAUGAUGACUAACCGUCGGCGAUAGACAGCCGGUGGCCAAGCAAAAGCGAUAAGUCAUCCACCUGGGGAGUACGUCGGCAACGAUGAAACUCAAAUGAAUUGACGGGG
rnacentral:rRNA from 1 species